UAGGGAAUCUUCCGCAAUGGACGAAAGUCUGACGGAGCAACGCCGCGUGAGUGAAGAAGGAUUUCGGUUCGUAAAACUCUGUUGUUAGGGAAGAAAAAAUGUAUAGUAACUAUAUACAAAAGAGACGGUACCUAACCAGAAAGCCACGGCUAACUACGUGCCAGCAGCCGCGGUAAUACGUAGGUGGCAAGCGUUGUCCGGAAUUAUUGGGCGUAAAGCGCGCGCAGGUGGUUUAGAAAGUCUGAUGUGAAAGCCCACGGCUCAACCGUGGGGGGUCAUUGGAAACUAAUAAACUUGAGUGCAGGAGAGAAAAGUGGAAUUCCUAGUGUAGCGAUGAAAUGCGUAGAGAUUAGGGGGAACACCGGUGGCGAAAGCGGCUUUUUGGCCUGCAACUGACACUGAGGCGCGAAAGCGGGGGGAGCAAACAGG
rnacentral:rRNA from 1 species